GACGUAGGGCGCGAGCGUUGUCCGGAUUUAUUGGGCGUAAAGAGCUCGUAGGCGGCUUGUCGCGUCGACUGUGAAAACCCGCGGCUCAACUGCGGGCCUGCAGCCGAUACGGGCAGGCUAGAGUUCGGUAGGGGAGCAGGGAAUAUCCGGUGUAGCGGUGAAAUGCUUAGAUAUCGGGUGGAACACCAGUGGCGAAGGCGCUGCUCUGGGCCGGUACUGACGCUGAGGAGCGAAAGCGUGGGUAGCAAACAGG
rnacentral:rRNA from 1 species